GACGAACGCUGGCGGCGUGCUUAAUACAUGCAAGUCGAACGGAAAGGCCCUGCUUUUGUGGGGUGCUCGAGUGGCGAACGGGUGAGUAACACGUGAGUAUCCUUCCCUUGACUUUGGGAUAACUUCAGGAAACUGGGGCUAAUAUCGGAUAGGAGAUACUGCUGCAUGGUGGGGGUUGGAAAGUUUCGGCGGUUGGGGAUGGUCUCGCGUCUUUUCAGCUGGUUGGUGGGGUAGUUGCUUACCAAGGAUUUGACGGGUAGCCGGCCUGAGUGGGUGCACGGCUCCAAUAGGACUGACCUAAGGCCCAGACUAGCACAGGCGGCAGCAGUGGAGAAUAUUACAGACCGAACCGAAGCAAGAUCUAGCAACGCUAGGUGCGAGAUGACCGCCUUCGAGCAGUAAACCGAUUUCGACUGUGAUGAAGCGUGAGUGACGGUAACUGGUACAAAAGCACCGGCUAACUACGUG
rnacentral:rRNA from 1 species